UGUGGGUGAAACAGAGACAAUGAUUAGAAAUGAUGCGUCUGAAAACAUUUUGCACUAAACUUGUUUGUAGAAGUUGCAGCUACAAAGUGGAGCAAUAUUGCAAAAUUGUGGCAUGUUCCUUUAAGAGUGGGCAGACAGCCUGAAUGUGUACCAGAGAUGUCAGAGACAUAAAGAGCGCUCACUUCGCUACUGACUCCUGCUGCAACUAACAUCACGGAGAUGUGGAGAACAUUCAGACCAGUCUUAGAAUAAAUGAGAUGAAAAGAAACCUACAAACAGGAAAUGUGUUACCAGCGGACCACUGUCAACAGCCACAACAGCUGCAUUAGCUUCACUUCAAACUAGUUUACUUACAGGUUAAUACAUGAGUAAAUAGUCCCAAUGAUCCAACCUAGUCUCAAACUAUAUGUAUAUAUGUUUCUCUACAUGCCACCCCCCUUGUCUUUUAUAGUGAGACAUAUGAAUAAUACUGUAAGAAUGCAAAAAAUAAUUCAGUGAAAAAUUAAUUGGAAAAUGAAGGUAUCCACUCUUGCAAUAAAGUAUAGAAAACAAGGAUACUCCCUGCACACUAUUCAUCACACUUAGAUGUGUCCCACUGUUCUGAGCGGGAGACAAAACAAUACAAAACAAAAAGUAUUUUCAACCAAAUUGGGUUAAAGCUAAAGAAUGAAGCCAAACAUUAAUUUAACUAACGACCUAACUAACUAAGCAACAGAAGCAAGUACACAAACAAGAGCCAGUCGGUUUCCCUGUCUGGAGUGAUGCAUCAUCAGAGCCACAGGCGAUCUUUGUGUUGUACAAAGACAGCAAAGAACCGUCGCCAGCAGCCGCAGCGCUCAAACACCGACUGUGUUUUCGGACAGGGCUGGUGUGUGUGCACUUUAUAUCAUUCAACACAGACUGCUACAAACGUUAUUCAGUCUCCUUCACGGCAUGACCGAGGCCCUUUAAAGCGUUACAGAUGUCAGGACUUGUGAACUUGUAGCCGGGUUGUUGGAGUGCCAAAACACACCGGAACAGGAGGCGACAGCAAGUGACAGUCGCUGAGAUUGACAGGUUCCAUGUUUUCUUCGGUUUGAAACAAAACAACAGCCAACCGCGUCACAAUUUACAAGUUGUUUUCAGAAAUCCCAGUUGCAACCUGGCUUGAAUUGUUGAUUUGGAAAGGAUUAUUUUUCUCAGCCAUGUUCAUCAAAAGGACGCAUCGAAAACAUUUUGGUGAAUCAUUUUGGAUGGACUUGGAUGUUUGUGAUGCUGUUGGUGAAGCUGGUUUCAGAGAGAAAGUGAGCUGCACUUUUACAUGGCUGGAGCUGAAAGAACAUGGAGCCAAAAGAAAAACUUCAGAUUGAAGGUGAUGACCGUGGAGGAUCUACUGGAGCUUCCUGGGAGGCUGAACUGAGAUCAACAAAUCAAGCAUCUGGUUGUCGUCCUUUUGGUGUUUUUUAGUUUCACUACUAAAAGCCUCCAUUUGUAUUCUGGCUUUAACUUCCCCUCUAGUUAUGCCAGCACAAAGUCAAGUCGCUAACAACACUUGAUAUGAUUUUGCUACAAAUGAGGUGCAGUAUUAGUGUUGACUUUAAGAGCACAUAUACAUAGCCUUUUAUAAUCAUAUUUGAAGAUGUAUUUUCUUGCUCAGUGUGUGGACCUCUGCACUGUCUGACUUGCUUGCCUGGAUAGAAUACCUGUACUGACUUGUUUAAUGUAUAUCAGCAUGUGUUGUGUACAUUUGUAAUGUGGAAAAAUUGAUACUGUUAUAAAGAAUAAAAACGUAUAAUGUA